rnacentral:miRNA from 14 species
UGGGUGUCCUUGGAUGUAAAAAGC